GCAAAAUCAUAACGGUCGAACGGAAGCCAUUAUCAUAACCUCCAAACAGAUAGCCCGUUUAUUCCCGUCUUUUCUACGCGUAAUCCACCUUUUUUGAGGAUUUGAUGGCAGAACAUGGAUUGAAGUUAAAGGACAUUAUGAUAGAGUUAGUAAAAUGUGCUCGAGUUGAAAGCCAGAAAAGAAAGAAGUUCGAGGUAUAAGGAAUGUAUCAAUGCGUAAAUCGCAAGAAACGAAUAAAAACUUAAGUUAUUCACUAAUCACUGUACUUACAUCUAAAGCGCCUAUGCUUUAUAAACUGUUACUUGAAGCACAAAAUUGAAUAACUUAGCUUAGUAAAAACCUAGUAAUCAGUCUUGCACCUAAAAUUUGUCCAGAUAUUUAUUUUGAAUAUCUAAUGUUACUGUAGUUGGUUUUUGUCCGUAUAUUCUGAUCAUAGUAAACCCUGCAUAUGAAGAACUUAGUUAUCUUUUCAAGCUAGCGUACCAGGUUCAAAUUUAAAUGGUGCAUAUAGAGGCAUUUGGCUUCUAGCUUCUUAUCUGAAUAUACAAAGAUGGAGGAGGAGGCAGUUCUUUUGGAAAACCGUAAUGACGCCAAAAAGGGUAUUGUUCAAAAGCUGUUAAAGUUGUUA